GAAGAAAACAAAACAUUUAUUAGAUUGCAGUUUCAUAAUAGUUUCCUGAGAAUAAGAGAAAGCCGCAGGAACACUAGGCAUGACAUAAUACAAAAUUGAGUACAAAAUUAUAUUAUAUUAUUAUGCGUAGAAGAAUUGGGAAUGCUGACAAGCGGGGAGUUGGCAAAGUCGACGUGGAUGUGACGUCCGCGACAAUGGGGUUUCGGCGGCCUCAUGCGUGAGUCUGUGGUGGGCGAUGUUGCAGAGGUGGGGAUGGCAAAGCUGGUCAUGGCAUGGAUGUGGGGUCUAAAGGACCGUUGAGGGUCAAACAAGAUAUCAAGUUUCCGGACUGGAUCUGUGAGGUGAAGCGUGCAUCCAAGGAUAAUAAUACUGCACCCCGACAAGGUGGCACUCUCCCGAGCAUUGCUCGCUAACGUCAGCAAUGGCUGUGAUCUGUACGUCGGUGGUAUGCGACUGGAACAACCUUCUAACUGCGAGGUAGAAGAGUGGUUUGGAAAUGUUAAAGGAUGCAGCCAAAGCCAUAGUGUCGGAGGAGAUGGUAGAAGAAUUGCAUAAGAUAAGAAUAAAGAAAGUGGAGCCCCGCAGUAAAAAGAUGAUGAACAAACGGAAAGAAAACAGCUAAGGGGGAAAAUGCACGGGAAAAUGGACAACACUUAUAAACAGCAAUAUGCUGUUAACAUGAUAAAAGAUGAGUCUGGACAAGAUUCGUCCCAGCAGUAAGAGCUCGAGAGACAGAUGCACUAUAGAGA